rnacentral:rRNA from 1 species
UACGUAGGGUGCGAGCGUUAAUCGGAAUUACUGGGCGUAAAGCGUGCGCAGGCGGUUUUGUAAGCCAGAUGUGAAAUCCCCGAGCUUAACUUGGGAACUGCAUUUGGGACUGCAAGGCUAGAGUACGGCAGAGGGGGGUAGAAUUCCUGGCGUAGCAGUGAAAUGCGUAGAUAUCAGGAGGAAUACCGAUGGCGAAGGCAGCCCCCUGGGUCGAUACUGACGCUCAUGCACGAAAGCGUGGGGAGCAAACAGG